rnacentral:rRNA from 1 species
UACGGGGGGGGCAAGCGUUUGUUCGGAAUUAUUGGGCGUAAAGAGCUCGUAGGCGGUUUGUCGCGUCUGCCGUGAAAGUCCGGGGCUCAACUCCGGAUCUGCGGUGGGUACGGGCAGACUAGAGUGAUGUAGGGGAGACUGGAAUUCCUGGUGUAGCGGUGAAAUGCGUAGAUAUCGAGAGGAACACCUGCGGCGAAGGCGGGUUGCUGGGCUGAUACUGACGCUGAGGCGCGAAAGCCAGGGGAGCGAACGGG